AAUGCAAACUGUUCUAUCGCCCCGAUCUCGCAUCGGGGAGGAAAGUCCGGGCAACGCAGAGCAUCUCGCUUCCUAACGGGAAGGGGUUUGGGAUUGAAGACCUGAACCACGGAAAGUGCCACAGAAAAUAUACCACCCAGCGCAAGUUGGGAAAGGGUGAAAACGUGAGGUAAGAGCUCACGAACUUUGUUAGUGAUAGCAAGGUUGGUAAACCCCGGGAGUUGAAAGACCAAAUAGGCUAACGUACGUAGGGCUGCUCGUCCGAUGUUAGUGGGUAGGUCGUUAGAGGUAAGCGGCAACGCUUGCAGUAGAUUAAUGAUAGAAACCUAACCUUGUGUUGGGAACAGAACCCGGCUUAUAGGUUUGCAUUUUUA
rnacentral:RNase_P_RNA from 1 species